AUAAAACGUGAAUAAACCCCUCGUAUAAUAAUGGGAAUAGGGCCCAUAAGUUUCUACCCGGCAACCGUAAAUUGCUGGACUAUGAGGGAAAGCUGAUAUGCC
rnacentral:ncRNA from 2 species